GACGAACGCUGGCGGCGUGCCUAAUACAUGCAAGUCGAGCGGACGGAUGGGAGCUUGCUCCCAGACCGUCAGCGGCGGACGGGUGAGUAACACGUGGGCAACCUGCCUGUAAGACUGGGAUAACUCCGGGAAACCGGGGCUAAUACCGGAUAACUCUUUCCCUCACAUGAGGGAAAGCUGAAAGAUGGCAUCUCGCUAUCACUUACAGAUGGUCCCGCGGCGCAUUAGCUAGUUGGUGAGGUAACGGCUCACCAAGGCGACGAUGCGUAGCCGACCUGAGAGGGUGAUCGGCCACACUGGAACUGAGACACGGCCCAGACUCCUACGGGAGGCAGCAGUAGGGAAUCUUCCGCAAUGGACGAAAGUCUGACGGAGCAACGCCGCGUGAGUGAUGAAGGUUUUCGGAUCGUAAAACUCUGUUGUCAGGGAAGAACAAGUACCGGAGUAACUGCCGGUACCUUGACGGUACCUGACCAGAAAGCCACGGCUAACUACGUG
rnacentral:rRNA from 1 species